rnacentral:rRNA from 1 species
UACGAAGGGGGCUAGCGUUGCUCGGAAUUACUGGGCGUAAAGGGCGCGUAGGCGGUUUGGACAGUCAGGCGUGAAAUUCCCGGGCUUAACCUGGGGGCUGCGCUUGAUACAUCCAGGCUUGAGUGGGGAAGAGGGUCGUGGAAUUCCCAGUGUAGAGGUGAAAUUCGUAGAUAUUGGGAAGAACACCGGUGGCGAAGGCGGCGACCUGGUCCUUUACUGACGCUGAGGCGCGAAAGCGUGGGGAGCAAACAGG